GCUCCAGUGGCCUAGUGGUUAGAGCGUCCGCCUCGGAUGCAGGAGGUCCUGGGUUCGAUCCCUCGGUUGAGUCA